rnacentral:rRNA from 1 species
AGCAGUCGCCGCGGUAAUACGGAGGGUGCAAGCGUUAAUCGGAAUUACUGGGCGUAAAGCGUGCGUAGGCGGUUCGUUAAGUCUGAUGUGAAGGCCCCCGGCUCAACCGGGGAGGGUCAUUGGAAACUGGGAAACUUGAGUGCAGAAGAGGAGAGUGGAAUUCCACGUGUAGCGGUGAAAUGCGUAGAGAUGUGGAGGAACACCAGUAGCGAAGGCGACUCUCUGGUCUGUAACUGACGCUGAGGAGCGAAAGCGUGGGGAGCGAACAGGAUUAGAUACCCCAGUAGUCCCUGUCUCUUAUAC